AUAUUUUUAUGGGUCAAAUAUAAAUAUCAAUCAUACUUUACCCAUAUGAAAAUCAGUCACCCAACUCAGGGCGAUUUGAGCGUGUCACCAAAAUAUGGACUUAUCAGUGGUAUAUUUCUCAGAUUUAUUUGGAGGAUGCACACAAAGGAAAAUACUUCCACUUUUUGCUUGCUGCUGGUCACUUCGACUUUUUGUGAUUCAAACAUUAAAAGUAAACACAACUUCACUUGUGUACCUUGAAUUCCUACUUUUUACAUAGUUUCUAGCUAAGAUUUCUACAUGCACCUUACCUUUGAUUUGCACAUGCAUUAUGUUUCUUUGAUGAAUUUAAUUUUUAUAGCCAUUAAUUACUGUAUAAGUUAGACUAUCUUACAAAAAAAAAAAUUAUCAAUUAUAUUUGAUUGUGCAUCUAAGUUGUUUGAUAAUAUGCCUCAGUUAACUUACCCCGGGGUGGCCCAGUGGUUUGAGCUUGGGACUUACAUGUUAGAGGUCUCAAGUUCGAAACCCCUUGCCAGCAAAAGCAAGGGAUUUGUCUUAUGGGUCGAGCUCGUCGCACCAAGUUUGCCUAGUGCAGGUUACAUCUCCUAUAUGGUUUGCGAGAUAUUGCAUAGGAGCGUGACUUUACCCCGUGCGCACCAGAAGGGUAGCAGUUGCGGGUGUAUAGGAGCGGAGUUUUACCCUGUGUGCACCCGAAAGGUAGCGGUUGCGGGGUUCCCUUGUCAUCGGGCGGCUGCAAUUGCAUAGGAGCGGGGUUUUACUGUGUGCACACUUGAAGGGUAACGGUUGUGAGUUUCCCUUGUCAUUAGAAAAAAAAUGCCUCAAGUUAACUUAUUUGAAGUUUUCUAUUGUCUUUUUUUCUUUUUGGGAUGCAACAUGAUUAUUUGUAUCACGACCAAAGACAUAUAUGGGAGCAUCUUGGCCUGCCACGAAUGCUACAACAAAAUCGACUCUCCUAGCAAAAUAUAGGUUUGUGCGAGGGAAAUGAAUUCACAAAUGCUAAAGUGGUUGAGAAUCUCCAAGUAAACCAAGACGCCUUGUUAAAUGGCAUUUUCAAUCUAACUGAAAAUUAUACAGAAACUAAGCUAACACCACCGAUAACUAUGUCAAAUGUAAACCAUUCAGACAAUGCUUUUGAACUAGAUUCAUCCAUCAAUAUUCACCUUGAUCCCUUUCAGCUCUCAAGAUCUACCAGCAAGGUAUGUUAGAUAUAUAACCUAUUGCAAAGCAAAUUUGGAGGGAGGAUUUCUUACUUUUAUAUGGAAUGAGUGAGCGAAUGACAAAAACUGCAUCAAUUAUCGUCUUCCGUAAACCGUGUAAGAACGUUUUGUUCGCAAAGAAAAAGAAGAUAGAAACCGAUCCCAUGAGGUACAUGAAGCGAUUAAAAUAAGGCGUCAGGGAAAUUUCAAGUAAUAAGGAGGGAGGAACAGAGUCAUUAAAAGCACGUGUAGUGUUAUUUGUAAGUUUAGGGUUAAAUUGGUCCUCAUGUGUUACUUAUGAAGGCAUUCUUCAAUAUUAACUUGAGCACUUAUUCUAACAUAUUUUUGCAUCAAUAUAACUGAAAAUCUUUAUUGUUGUAUAUCUUCAAGCAUUUCUCUCCCUUUGCUGAUCUUAAAUUUCUACAGUUGUUCCUUCAGUGUCCAAACGAGAAUUGGACUCCAAUACUAUUCCACUCUUGAAAUUUCGUUCCUCUUAGAAUCUUUGAGAGUAAAGUAAUCUUAUUUUUCUGGCAUCUUCCCGUUUGAUUUAUUUGCAUCUGUGAAUUUUAAAUGUGAACUUUAUUUGAUUGAGCAUAAAUAAUUUUGAUAAUCAAAGAAGUGCCGGUUCUUUUGGCACUUCUUAUCGUGCUGGACCAGUAGAGUAGAGUAGUAAAGUUUCAAUUCAUUAUUAAGUAAAUCCAUCUAUUUAGAAUUGUUUGGUAAAAACAUUAUAUAAGCUGAAUUGUGUUUUAUGAAUACUCUUAUGCACUCUUCAGGUUUUUUUCCAUCCUCGGCAGGUAAGAGAAAAAAUAGAAAUUCCCAACGCCAUGUAUUCUCAUAUCGUCAGCUGCGGAGAGACGGAUGUUUGACAUGAUUGAUCAAGAAAAAUAUGUUGAUGGAAAUUUAAUUGGUGAGUGUUCUUUCUAUGGUGAAAGAGAUUUGCAUUUUCUAAAGACUGGACUGCAAACGUUGUGCUGUUUGAGGCUUUGGUCCCAUAAAAAAUCUAAUAGCUUAUCUCUUGUGUUUGAAUGCACGAUCAAAUUCAUCAAACAGUAGGCAUUUCUUCUACUUACUUAUUUCUAACAUGAGUUGAACACUAUUUGAUGCAAGAAAAUCAUUUUAUAAGAAACAAUUGUGCUCACACACAUGUAUAUAACAGAGUCAUCUCAAUGACAAGUCCCAUAGAUUUUGUAAUGCACAUCUCUCUACUUGAUUCUCCUGAAGCUAAAUAUAUGCAUCUGUUCAUAAAAAAUAAUAGUUGAUUGAGUUAUCUUCCUCUCUUAUUUUCAUUUGUGUUAGUAUAAAGAAAAAGACAAGAUAGAUUGGGUUUUGACGUUAUUUUCUUCUAUAUGAAUAAUUGUGAGUAUACCUCUAAAUUCGUUUGACAUUCCAGGUGACUUCUCCUUAAUAGAAAGGUUAAUGGUUGCGUGAUCUAUUUUGAUUUGAUUUUUCCUUUUUCCUUUUUCCAUUGUCUAUGGAUAACAAGCAAAACCUGCAAGCUGCCUUCUUGGGUUUUAACGCUGGAAUGACCCACAUUGUGAGAGAAACUGAAAAACAUAUAUCAAGACUCCAAAAGAGAAAACAUGUGAGACAGUCACUAUAACUGGAGCAUCCCCAGUGAUGGUAAUUGGUGUUGUUGGAUCUGUUGUAACACUUCAUAAUAGCGUUGCCUCAAUACUUAUUGAGCUCAGCAUCUCAAUAAUUAGUUGAAGAGUUUCUACGAGAACUAGAGCAAGUUUUCCAAGAAAAAGUCCAUUAUGAAUUACUCCAAGAAAUAUGAUGCUGGUGAAUAAAAAGAUUAUUUAGGCACAGUUGGAGAAACUAAAGAAUACUUGUGUCAUCAAUGUGUUGACUCACUCACACGUACACUCUUCCCUCGGAUAUUGGGGGACCAUGGCUCGGAUAUGCUUUUAUGUGUGUAUAUAUUAUGUAUUUCAAUAAUUUUGUUUUCUCUGUAAUCUAAUUCGGACCAACAUUCAUGUUCUGAGUUAGUGGUAAUAAGAGACGUUGUAACUUGUAAGAUAUAGUUUCUAAUUGAUACUUGCACUUCUAAAGAUAUAAAUAUGUUAUACC